rnacentral:tRNA from 5 species
GUCGCCGUAGUUCAAUGGAUAGAAUUAGAGUUUCCGAAGCUCUCGAUACAGGUUCGAUUCCUGUCGGCGACGCCA